AGCGCUGUCAACAAAGCAAAGGGCGGCUACUUUCAGGAAUCUAAAAUAUAAAACAUGUUUAGAGUUUUUAUCAAUCUUUUCUUUGCUGCUUAAUUCCAUAUAUCUUGCUUCAUAUAUUUGAUGUCUUUAGUUUGCAUCUAUAGUGUAGAAAGUAGUAAAAAUAAAGACCUGCAGCUCUUUAUUUUAGAUUUUGUCUGAAACAAGAGAUUGUUUUAUCUCCGUCCUCUGACUGUCUUAGGAUAAAUUUCCCCGAUUCGGAUUGAAUCGGCCGGCGACAGUGUGCUCAGAUUGUUCUUGAAUGUAGAGCUUGCAAGUAUCUAUUUAGCACUAAAAGGUUUUCGUCAGCUUAAUUUAACUGACAGUACUUACCUGUAACUUGUGUUAGUGUCAGUUAGACAGUGAUAAAUAAAGAACAGUGAUUUGAACUGAUUACCCUUUAAUGCUUUAUAGCAGUUCAGUAACUUUCUGUUUGCACUUGCUUAAUACAGCAGCAGUCUGGAAGAAUCACACCCAUCAGAUUGACAUGUGAUAGCUACACGUUUGCUGACUGGUUUUUCCUCAUGUCUGCAGGUUCCAUCAACCCCCCUCCAUACGCUGUCCCCCCCUCUCCUCAUGGGGGGGACAGCACAAUGGAGCCUGCCCCACCCCUCACCCCAUCCCACCCCAAGUGGCAAAUGUGUGGGAUGAGGCAUGAAGGUAUUCCACCGUCACUUUCGUUAUCCUGGGCAGGAUUGUUAGUUGGAGGUUCUAUCAACCCCCCUCCAUACGCUGUCCCCCC